GGCGGCGUGCUUAACACAUGCAAGUCGAACGAUGAAGCCCUUCGGGGUGGAUUAGUGGCGAACGGGUGAGUAACACGUGGGCAAUCUGCCCUGCACUCUGGGACAAGCCCUGGAAACGGGGUCUAAUACCGGAUAUGACCAUUCUUGGGCAUCCUUGAUGGUGUAAAGCUCCGGCGGUGCAGGAUGAGCCCGCGGCCUAUCAGCUUGUUGGUGAGGUAAUGGCUCACCAAGGCGACGACGGGUAGCCGGCCUGAGAGGGCGACCGGCCACACUGGGACUGAGACACGGCCCAGACUCCUACGGGAGGCAGCAGUGGGGAAUAUUGCACAAUGGGCGAAAGCCUGAUGCAGCGACGCCGCGUGAGGGAUGACGGCCUUCGGGUUGUAAACCUCUUUCAGCAGGGAAGAAGCGAAAGUGACGGUACCUGCAGAAGAAGCGCCGGCUAACUACGUGCCAGCAGCCGCGGUAAUACGUAGGGCGCAAGCGUUGUCCGGAAUUAUUGGGCGUAAAGAGCUCGUAGGCGGCUUGUCACGUCGAUUGUGAAAGCUCGGGGCUUAACCCCGAGUCUGCAGUCGAUACGGGCUAGCUAGAGUGUGGUAGGGGAGAUCGGAAUUCCUGGUGUAGCGGUGAAAUGCGCAGAUAUCAGGAGGAACACCGGUGGCGAAGGCGGAUCUCUGGGCCAUUACUGACGCUGAGGAGCGAAAGCGUGGGGAGCGAACAGGAUUAGAUACCCUGGUAGUCCACGCCGUAAACGUUGGGAACUAGGUGUUGGCGACAUUCCACGUCGUCGGUGCCGCAGCUAACGCAUUAAGUUCCCCGCCUGGGGAGUACGGCCGC
rnacentral:rRNA from 1 species